GUGAAUCAUCAAAUCUUUGAACGCAAAUUGCACUCUCUUCGGAGAGUAUGCCUGUUUGAGGGUCAGUAUUAAUAAAAAUCGGAGUGUUGCUUCUUUGUGACGUUCCGGAGUUUGGGUCAUCUUAAUAUCCUUUAGGUUUUAAGAGGCUUAAAAUUGACUUUUUUUGCGCAUUUUAGAUGUACAUAAAUUCUUUUUUUUUUUUGUUUGUUUUUAUUUUCAAAAUUCUAUUCAUU
rnacentral:misc_RNA from 1 species